rnacentral:lncRNA from 1 species
UCUUUUACUAGUAAAAGGAAGGUUGAAUUGCUCCUAGGCCUUCAUUGUGAUGAUGUGGCAUGCUUUAGAGAGCUCUCAUAUCUAUUUAAAAUUUUUCCCAUAAUUUAUUUUGUAUGUCCAUUCAUCCUCCAAAGUAAUUAUCUAUAUGUUACAAUAAUAAUGGCUCCCAAUAUUUUUUUUGCAAAGAACAAAAAAAAAUGCUAUAUUGAUGUUGAUAAUUAUACAUGUGAAGUUCAAGUGACAAGUAAUUUAAAUUAGUAGCAAGUGUA